rnacentral:rRNA from 1 species
CUGGUUGAGGAUGACAGUACCGGAAGAAUAAGCACCGGCUAACUACGUGCCAGCAGCCGCGGUAAUACGUAGGGUGCGAGCGUUAAUCGGAAUUACUGGGCGUAAAGCGUGCGCAGGUGGUUUUGUAAGACAGAUGUGAAAUGCCCGGGCUCAACCUGGGACCGGCAUUUGUGACUGCAUCGCUAGAGUGUGGCAGAGGGGGAUGGAAUUCCGCGUGUAGCAGUGAAAUGCGUANAUAUGCGGAGGAACACCGAUGGCGAAGGCAAUCCCCUGGANUGGNACUGACGCUCAUGCACGAAAGCGUGGGGAGCAAACAGGAUUAGAUACCCUGGUAGUCCACGCCCUAAACGAUGUCU